rfam:Myotis brandtii contig199101, whole genome shotgun sequence.
GGUGGUUCUCAGUUGGCCCACCCCCAAAUCGGGCUCCCUCCUCUCUGGUUCCGGGUGCAUUACCCUAGAACUGCA